rnacentral:rRNA from 1 species
UGGCUCAUUAUAUAAGUUAUCGUUUAUUUGAUAGUGCCUUACUACUUGGAUAACCGUGGUAAUUCUAGAGCUAAUACAUGCUAAAAACCCCGACUUCGGAAGGGGUGUAUUUAUUAGAUACAAAACCAAUGCCCUUCGGGGCUCUUUGGUGAUUCAUGAUAACUAUACGAAUCGCACGGCCUUGCGCCGGCGAUGGUUCAUUCAAAUUUCUUCCCUAUCAACUUUCGAUGUUUGGGUAUUGGCCAAACAUGGUUGCAACGGGUAACGGAGGGUUAGGGCUCGACCCCGGAGAAGGAGCCUGAGAAACGGCUACUACAUCCAAGGAAGGCAGCAGGCGCGCAAAUUACCCAAUCCCGACUCGGGGAGGUAGUGACAAUAAAUACUGAUACAGGGCCCUUUCGGGCCUUGUAAUUGGAAUGAGUACAAUUUAAAUCCCUUAACGAGGAACAAUUGGAGGGCAAGUCUGGUGCCAGCAGCCGCGGUAAUUCCAGCUCCAAUAGCGUAUAUUAAAGUUGUUGUGGUUAAAAAGCUCGUAGUUGAACCUUGGGCCUGGCUGGCCGGUCCGCCUCACCGCGUGCACUGGUCCGGCCGGGCCUUUCCCUCUGUGGAACCCCAUACCCUUCACUGGGCGUGGCGGGGAAACAGGACAUUUACUUUGAAAAAAUUAGAGUGCUCCAGGCAGGCCUAUGCUCGAAUACAUUAGCAUGGAAUAAUAACACCCUGACAGCCCNGUUCUAUUUUUGUUGGUUUAUAGGACCGCCUGUAAUGAUUAAUAGGGGACAG